rnacentral:rRNA from 1 species
AUACGUAGGGGGCAAGCGUUAUCCGGAAUUACUGGGUGUAAAGGGAGCGCAGACGGCUAAGCAAGUCUGAUGUGAAAGUCAUGGGCUCAACCCAUGGAUUGCAUUGGAAACUGCGAAGCUGGAGUGUCGGAGGGGUAAGCGGAAUUCCUGGUGUAGCGGUGAAAUGCGUAGAUAUCAGGAGGAACACCGGUGGCGAAGGCGGCUUACUGGACGAUCACUGACGUUGAGGCUCGAAAGCGUGGGGAGCAAACAGGAUUAGAUACCCUGGUAGUCCACGCGGUAAACGAUGAAUACUAGGUGUCGGGGGGCGAAGCUCUUCGGUGCCGAAAGCAAACGCAGUAAGUAUUCCACCUGGGGAGUACGUUCGCAAGAAUGAAACUUAAAGGAAUUGACGGGG